CUCAAUUGGAAUCUCCCUGUCAAACUGCUCCUUUUCGUCUACUUUUUUAGCAUCAUUAGAAUUCUGAACCAGUGGGUCCGCAGCGGCACGAACUUCUUCUGCACUUUCUUCUUGGCUAGCUGAGGUCCCCUUGCUGAAUUCAGCAGAAUGAAAUGAGGCAUCUUCCCCAGCUGGUUUAAUCUCUAUCUUAUUUUCCUCUAGCACAUUCAGAGCAUCUGCAGCGGCAGGAACUUCUUGUGCUACACUUUCUUCUUGGCAAACUAAGAUCGCCUUGCUGAGUUCAGCAGAAUGAAAUGAGGCAUCUUCCCCAGCUGGUUUACUCUCUAUCUUAUUUUCCUCUAGCACAUUCAGUGCAUCCGCAGCGGCAGGAACUUCUUGUGCUACACUUUCUUCUUGACUAGCUGAUGUCGCCUUGCUGAGUUCAGCAGAUUGAGAUGCGGCGUCAGUCCCAGCUGGUUUACUCUCUAUCUUAUUUUCCUCAAGCACAUUCAGUGCAUCUACAGCGGCAGGAACUUCUUGUGCUGCACUUUCUUCUUGGCUAGCUGAGGUGGCCUUGCUGAGUUCAGCAGAAUGAGAUGAGGUGUCAGCCCCAGCUGGUUUGCUCUCAAUCUUAUUUUCCUCAAGAAUAUUCAGUGCAUCUGCAGCGGCAGGAACUUCUUCUGCACUUUCUUCUUUGCUAGCUGAGGUUGCCUUGCUGAGUUCAGCAGAAUGAGAUGAGGCAUCUGUCCCAGCUGGUUCACUCUCGUUCUUAUCCUCCUCAAGCACACUCAAUGGUAGCGUUUUGUUGAGGCUGUUAUCGAGAGGUUUAUCUUCAGCUUCUUGAAUUUCCAUUUUCUCUAUGUUUCCCUCAUCCAUUGUUUCUUCUUU
rnacentral:lncRNA from 1 species